rnacentral:rRNA from 1 species
AGUGAACGCUGGCGGUAGGCCUAACACAUGCCAGUCGAACGGCAGCACAGUAAGAGCUUGCUCUUACGGGUGGCGAGUGGCGGACGGGUGAGGAAUACAUCGGAAUCUACUUUUUCGUGGGGGAUAACGUAGGGAAACUUACGCUAAUACCGCAUACGACCUACGGGUGAAAGCAGGGGAUCUUCGGACCUUGCGCGAUUGAAUGAGCCGAUGUCGGAUUUGCUAGUUGGCGGGGUAAAGGCCCACCAAGGCGACGAUCCGUAGCUGGUCUGAGAGGAUGAUCAGCCACACUGGAGCUGAGACACGGUCCAGACUCCUACGGGAGGCAGCAGUGGGGAAUAUUGGACAAUGGGCGCAAGCCUGAUCCAGCCAUACCGCGUGGGUGAAGAAGGCCUUCGGGUUGUAAAGCCCUUUUGUUGGGAAAGAACAGCAGCAGGUUAAUACCCCGCUGUUCUGACGGUACCCAAAGAAUAAGCACCGGCUAACUUCGUG